GCGGCCAUCGUAUAGUGGCAAUACCCGUGCUUCCCAAGCACGAGACGCGGGUCCGAUUCCCGCUGGCCGCUCCA
rnacentral:tRNA from 1 species